rnacentral:lncRNA from 1 species
UUUUAUUUGAACUUGUGAGGAGCCAAAUAGUGAGUGAGUUGGCUAGUAUGUUAAGAUUUUAAUAUUGAAGUCUUGAGUUCAGUUCUAAGCUUUAGCAUGAUUUUUUAGGCUAUAAAACUACAAGUAUGGAAACUCCUACCGUCAAGAUUUGUUUCCAACAUCUUUUUCUCCCAAUAGUUAUCAAGUCUGUGAUGUGUGUUAUCAAGCUAUUCACACAAAAAAUUAACC